rnacentral:lncRNA from 1 species
ACACUAAUUAAGACUACAAAUUAGACCUAAUGAAAGAUUUCAAACAGACCACUAAAACCAGAUACAAGUAGCAGACCUGGUGCAGCUAGCCAAACUAGUCUCUGAGUCAUGGGACUGAGCCACCAGUAGAAAGAACAGCAGGGAUAGUGGGGAGGACUGGGGCACAGCAGGGAGAGUGCCGGGUAGUUGAUCGAUGAGUGUCGGUGAUCUCCAUCAUAGUCACUUGCUUACACUGCGCAGGAGGGUUGCUGCUGUGCUGUGCCCUUUAUCAAACAGAUGAUAGGCAACUCUUGCACAACGCCAUCCAGCUUUUUGCAGAGGUCAACAUAUUUCACUCAGAUGGAGGAUUCCGACAUUGCGGGGGUCAAUUGACCACCUUUGCACUAACGUGGGUCUGCCCCUGGUAGCAUCACUACUGAUCUUCAACUUCUUCUUGCUGCUAACAGCAUCACCAAUUGAUCUUUUCCUAUUUGCCAUAAUUUCAUUGAACUUGGCUUUCAAGUCCCGCUGAGCUUCUUCCAACAGCGCACACAAUGAAUGAAUGACAUCGUCGUGAAUAUUGAUCUGUAUAGUAUGUAAAAUUUUACGGUGCCUGAAAAGGACAUCAAAAUCAUGAACGGUAAAUUCAAAACAGAUCAUAUGUACUUAUCCUCUGCUACAAUUGCACUAGGGGAUGCAUGUGAAGGUGGUGCACCAUGAUCCAAUCCCUCAUCCUCCAUGUUUUCUUCCUGCACGUUCGGGUCAAUGCCCAGAGAUGCAUCAGUACCAGUUGGUGCACCAUGAUCCCAUCUCUCAUCCUCCACGUUCUCAUCCUGCGGGUUAGAACGUGCGGCUAUACUAUUGAAAUAUAAUCACGCGUAUAGCCGCUAGGCUAUGCUCCGUGUUUCUUUAAAAAUUUUUAUUCAAAUUAAUCGUAUAGCCGGCCGGCCAUACUCGGUGUUUUUAAAUGUCUUUUCCAAUUAAUAGUAUAGCCGCACGGCUAUACUAUUUUUGGGUCUAUUUUUUAUAAAUAAAUAGUACACCCGCUCCCCUACUUUUAAACAUAAUAUAUUAAAAGAAUAUAGAACGGCUAUACGUGUUUUUAAAUUUUUCCUUAAAUUAAUAAUAUAGCCGCGCGGCUAUAUCGUUUAAUAUAUUAUAUUCAAAAAGUAUAGCCGCCCGGCUAUACUAGGGUCCCUAUUUUUUUAAAUUAAAAAAAAAUAAAUAAACAGUGGAAUGAUGUUUUUAAUCUUUUUUCUUUAAAUAAAAGGCCAAAUUACACUUUCUGGUUGUGUGAACUGUACUAUUCAUUGACUUUGCAUUUUCAGUCUCUGUUCUUGUAAUAUUGGAAAUAUUAGUUCUGUAGUUUUGUUCAUGUCAAAAUCUCAGGGAAGAUGGGCAAAUGUAAGAUGUUAAUUUUUAAUUUCACAUGUAACAGAAUUUCACCUCCAGCCGAUAUGUUAAACAAGUAAGUGGGUCCAAAUGUAAUGUGAGAAGUAGUUCUUCGAAUAAGGCUCAUGGUCACGGGACAAAGCGAUUAGCAAGAAACUAGUGAAGUGAGGUGACUCUUCUUCUUCAUUUCUAGGGCUGCUACAAUAACACACCAUCACAUUUAUCAACCAUAACAUAUAUAUAUAUAUAUAUAUAUAUAUAUAUAGAUAAACUAGUACAACGUGUGGCAGCCAAGUGAGAACCCUAUAUCCGUAGCUACAUCUUCUGCUAGCAUUACAAGAACUUAGAGCAUGUUGUUCUAGACCCAGCACUGAACACACCCACAAACCAGAAAAGCACACUAAUUAAGACUAAACCAAACACAAAUUAAGACCUAAUGAAAGAUUUCAAACAGAUCAUUAAAACCAGAUACAAGUAGCAGACCCUGGUGCAGCUAGCCAAACUGGUCUCUGAGUCAUGGUGUAAAUGGGACUGAGCCACCAGCAGAAGGAACAGCAGGGAUAGUGGGGAGGACUGGGACUGGAACACAGCCUCCAGGGAGAGUGCAGAGGCCUGAUGGUCCAAAGCUAACCCCAGUAACAAACCCUGGAGGGCCUGGGAAGAUGCCUCCUGCAGCUCCUCCAUAGAAGUUCUGAGGCUCAUCAACGCCCUCUCCAUUCUCAUCAUGACUCUUGAUCCGCCUUCCUCCUUCAACAUGCAAUGCAGCAACCACUAGGAUAGUGGUCAGGAUCAGCAUCACCUUAUUCACUCUCUCCAUGCUGACCUUUUGCUGCUUUGAGCUCUCUCUCUCUCUCUCUCUCUCUCUCUCUCUACAGUUUUGAGUCACACUCUAAAAUUUGUUACAGGGGUGAAGGAAGAUCAUGACAAACCCACCCUCCUUCUUAUAGUACAAAAGAUCUCCAUUUCAGGAUAAUCAAAAUAACCCUUUUCUCUUAAUUACCAUACAUGGAAUAGGGAUGCUUGCCUUGCUAAAUGCAGUGG